rnacentral:rRNA from 1 species
GAUGAACGCUGGCGGCGUGCCUAAUACAUGCAAGUCGAGCGAACAGACGAGGAGCUUGCUCCUCUGACGUUAGCGGCGGACGGGUGAGUAACACGUGGAUAACCUACCUAUAAGACUGGGAUAACUUCGGGAAACCGGAGCUAAUACCGGAUAAUAUAUUGAACCGCAUGGUUCAAUAGUGAAAGACGGUUUUGCUGUCACUUAUAGAUGGAUCCGCGCCGCAUUAGCUAGUUGGUAAGGUAACGGCUUACCAAGGCAACGAUGCGUAGCCGACCUGAGAGGGUGAUAGGCCAAACUGGAACUGAGACACGGUCCAGAUCCCUACGGGAGGCAGCAGGAGGGAAUCUUCCGCAAUGGGCGAAAGCCUGACGGAGCAACGCCGCGUGAGUGAUGAAGGUCUUCGGAUCGUAAAACUCUGUUAUGAGGGAAGAACAAAUGUGUAAGUAACUAUGCACGUCUUGACGGUACCUAAGCAGAAAGCCACGGCUAACUACGU